CCAGAAAAGCUUGAUCCAGUGCAAUUUCGUAGUACCCAAAAGCUUAUCUGAUCGAGAUGGGAAUUGGCGUGUAGGAGCAAUUACAACCCUUAUUGACUUGAUUGGUGCUUCUGUUAUACAUACUAUACAUGGAAAUAUCCAUGUUUCUGUUGAUUUCAAUAUUUCAUUUUUUUCAACUGUUAAGGUUCAGGAAGAAGUAGAGAUUGAAGCUAAAGUAUUGGGAGAUCAAUGAAGUUUAUUUUCAUUUACGGUGGUGAUUAGAAAGAAAGAAAAUGGUGAUUUGGUAGCUAUAGGAAAACAAUGGAUGUCUGUAUAUGAUCUCAAUCAUAAAAGUAAGAUGUAAUUACUCGAUUUAAAUCAUUUCUUAA